GAAAUGGACCCACCUGAAAAUUCUAGUAUCAACAGAAGAAAAAGCUCUUGUUGACGGCUUGAAGACAGAAUCAUGUGAAUUAGUUGAUCCUUUGGAUAGAUAUGUCUCUGUGUUUCAAAUGCUUCAUCAACCGAUCUCAAUAUAUAUACAUCCAAUAUCCACUAUAGCAAGUUUCUUCCUUCUCUCUGAACCGCCUUUUUACUAGAAGAUUACCCUAACUCAACGAAUAUUCGAUUCUCAAAGAUUGCUCUUGCAAAGCAGAUGCUAUGACAGGCUGUGGCUCAUAUGUCCGAAAGGGCCAUUUUGCUGUAUAUGUUGGUGAAACUAUAAAGAAUAGAUUUGCAUUACGUAACUGUUUACACCCAUUUCCCGCACUUCAUGGUAAAUGCGGAUUACAAUGUGUUAAGCCCACGAGACCCAUUAGAUGCGGCCCACGAUUGAAGCCCGAAGAUAUAACCAACCCGAAUUCAUGGCGCAACCCGGUCCGGACAGCGGGGAAUGGGUUGGCGGUGCAAGGAUGGAAAUUCCCAAGGAAAGGAAGAAUGCAUUUGGGACGUCGAGUAAGGAUGCUCUUCACAUUUUGGGCACGUAUUAUCAUUAUAUGCAAGGGAAUUUCAUUACUGCCAAAUUGGAGGAAGAAAGAUUGACUUACAUAUUAAGAGGAUUCCAAGGCAGAGAACAUCCAUGGACUUAAAGGUGGAUUUCCAUAAUUGAAGGGGCGUGCAUGUGGACUCCUUCUUCGGGUUGGGUUCGGAGAGAAUUUAUCCAUGGGAUGGAUUUCCAUAUGAUUUAAUAUUCCGUUGCUCUUCUUAGGUCGAUAAUAUUCUCCGAAUAAGUGAAUUAUUUCCCACAUAGUCCUAAGUUAGCUAAUUUGCUAGAUUAUUUGCCGAUUUCAAUGUCUUGGGUGGCACACUAGUGAUAAGCCUAUUUAAGUCAAGUCCGUCUAUUGUAUUACCCUCCCUUCGGGCACAUCAAUAAAAUUGCUUUUUGGAGCAAA